rnacentral:rRNA from 1 species
CGACCGGCGCACGGGUGAGUAACACGUAUGGAACCUGCCCGCAGGCAGGGGAUAAGCGGAAGAAAUUCCGUCUAAUACCGCGUAACACCGCAGAGGGGCAUCCCUCGGCGGUUAAAGAUUCAUCGGCUGCGGAUGGCCAUGCGGCGCAUUAGCUAGUCGGCGGGGUAACGGCCCACCGAGGCGACGAUGCGUAGGGGUUCUGAGAGGAAGGUCCCCCACACUGGUACUGAGACACGGACCAGACUCCUACGGAAGGCAGCAG